UACAGAGGUCUCAAGCGUUGUUCGGAUUCAUUGGGCGUAAAGGGUGCGUAGGUGGCGCCGUAAGUCGGGUGUGAAAUUUCGGAGCUUAACUCCGAAACUGCAUUCGAUACUGCGGUGCUUGAGGACUGGAGAGGAGACUGGAAUUCAUGGUGUAGCAGUGAAAUGCGCAGAUAUCAGGAGGAACACCGGUGGCGAAGGCGGGUCUCUGGGCCGAUACUGACGCUGAGGAGCGAAAGCGUGGGGAGCGAACAGG
rnacentral:rRNA from 1 species